UAAUGUAUAGGAAUCUACCUAGUAGUACGGAAUAAUUGUUGGAAACGGCAACUAAUACCGUAUACGCCCUACGGGGGAAAGAUUUAUCGCUAUUAGAUGAGCCUAUAUUAGAUUAGCUAGUUGGUGAGGUAAAGGCUUACCAAGACAAUGAUCUAUAGCUGAUCUGAGAGGAUGAUCAGUCACACUGGAACUGAGAUACGGUCCAGACUCCUACGGGAGGCAGCAGUGGGGAAUAUUGGACAAUGGGCGAAAGCCUGAUCCAGCCAUGCCGCAUGAGUGAAGAAGGCCUUUGGGUUGUAAAGCUCUUUCGGUGAGGAAGAUAAUGACGGUACUCACAGAAGAAGUCCUGGCUAACUCCGUGCCAGCAGCCGCGGUAAUACGGAGAGGGCUAGCGUUAUUCGGAAUUAUUGGGCGUAAAGAGCGCGUAGGCUGGUUAGUAAGUUAAAAGUGAAAUCCCAAAGCUCAACUUUGGAAUUGCUUUUAAAACUGCUAACCUAGAGAUUGAAAGAGGAUAGAGGAAUUCCUAGUGUAGAGGUGAAAUUCGUAAAUAUUAGGAGGAACACCNGUGGCGAA
rnacentral:rRNA from 1 species